UGAUUUCUUUUUCUUUUUUUCAGUCAACAAAAUAUUAUAUUUGUAGUCUUUUUCUUAAGUGUAAUUUUCACCUAAGAACUUGUGUACCUUCAUUGUUGUUUAGGUUAUCUCUGGCGAAAACAAGUGCGACCGCGUCUACGGUGUAAAGAGUGGUAUCAAUAUUGUCAACUUCAGCGUUGGUACAAACGAAAUAGUUGUGCGCAUCACCGAUCAUAACGGUUUCUCUUGAUAUCUUUGCAUCUACAAACAAGAAGAAGAAAGGUCGCUGAUAUCCAUGGAUCUCUUCCUCUGUAAUGACGAAGUCGUUAUAGAUAAGCUCCGUCUUGGCCCGCCUUGGUUAGCCAUUUCUACUUUAGAAUGUAGAAGAGAUCAAACGUUUAGGAUACCGUCAACGCUUACGUAAAAAAAUCGAAUUUGAUUUAGAUUUCGAAGAAGGAAAGUCUUGUGAAAUCGUAACUAAUCUAGCAAACGAGAAAAAGAUUAUACAAAACAAAAGGACAAACUCGUGAAAAUAACGAUGACGAAGCUGAGAUUAGUUCCGUCGUAGAUGCUCCUUCUCAAUCGUUCGUGACAAAGGAUAACGGCGACGAGAGAGACGAACGGAACGUUUUGUGAACGUCGUAGAUUCCUCCCGGGAAAAUGAUUCUGUGAUUUUCUGUAAAACGUUUAUCUCCUCCUUUUUGCAAAUUGAGGCAGGCUCUCCUCUUUAUUGUUGGCAAUAUAUUGAUUUCUUAUGUUUCGUAAUUUACUAUUAUAUCCUCCAGUUAAUGACGAGUGACUCCCUCAUAGAUUGGUUUCCUAUUUUCCAAAGGGUGUUGUCGUCAUUAUUAUUAAUGGUGUCAUUACACACGAGUUGAUGAUACUUUCUGGAUUUCAUUUUUAAUUUAUUUUGUUCAAAACUGGAUUUUUCUCACUUUAUUUCUUAUAAAAAUUUUGGACUACAACAGGAAUUUAAAGAUUGUUUUUUUUUUGAGAAAUUGGUAAGAAUGCAUCCAAAAGCUCAUAUAAUUUGCCAUAUACCUUUGUUUCUUGGGAAAAUUAUUUUUUUAGAGCAAAAAAAUGAUAACUAUGUCACUUUAGACUAAUCUCAUAUACUUUAUGUCCCAUUAGGUUAAUUAUUUUUAAAAUAGUAAUAAUAUCCUUAAAAUUGUAAUUUUUAAAUAUAAUAAAUAAUGAAUUCGUUUUUUUUUGGUUUUAAAAAAAAAAUCAAUUUUUUAAAAAAUAUGAAAGUGAAUAUUCCCAAAUAUUAUGUUUCCAUAUUUUAGGAACUGAUUUCUUAUCCGUAGAAUACAGCUAAUCUGUAAAAAUCGGUUUCUACAGGUUUUUAGAAUUAUAGUAAUGUGUAGAUUUUUAUUUCUACAUGUUUUAGAUUUACAGUAAAUCUGUAGAAGUUGGUUUCUACACGUUUUAGAUUUAUACUAAUGUGUAGAUUUUGAUUUCUAAAGAUUUUAGAUCGGUAGGUUAAGCGCGAAAUGUGUAUUCUAAAUACUUUUAGAAUACUCUUAUUUACGUAGAUCACAUAUUCUAAACAUUGUAGAUUCAAUGAAAAAAGUAGAUUUCGUUUUCUACUUCGUAGAAUGUCAUUUCUACUUUAUUUAGAACAUAAUCUGAAAUUUAUGAUUUAAACUUUUUUAGAACUAAAAAAAAUACCACUAAGUUCAUAUAGGUAUUUUAUCAAUAGUUAUCAUUUUCCAAAAAAAGUUUGUUUGUAAAACUAUUUAUUAAAUUUAUUUUCAAAAAUAUUAAAGGGUAUUAUAGACAAAACUUGCACAAAAUAGAUAUUAGUCUAAAAGGACAUAAUUAUCAUUUUUUUGAUCUAAAAAAAACAAUUUUCCCUUGUUUCCUUUUAAUAUUUUUUAUGACUAUAAUACUCUUAUCUCUAUCUCACUCCAUUUUCUCUUUUAUGUGUGUUUAAUCUCUUUAUCUCUCGUAUAGAUUUUUCAAAUCAUCUUCUAAUUCAACGCAAAUCUUUAUUUUUUUAUUCUGAUUCUUUUGACACCCAUAAUGCUAAUUUUAUUAUCUCACCUCAAUUCCAAUGUUUCCAAUUUUGACUCACAAUCAACUUUUAGAUAAUAUAUAUGUUAAUAGGUAUUUUAUUAAUUACCUGAUAUUAUUUAGAUUUCAAUGGAUUCUUAAUCGAUACAUGAAGUGUUAGAUGUUACAAAUAUAUUUGGGGCUAUUUGAUAGAUAACUAAUUAAUUGUUAAUAGUUUCAUUAACUAAUAUAUGAUUUGUUAGUCGAUACAUUUGUUUGAUACAUAUAUUGUUAGAUGAUACUGAAAUUAUUAGUUGAUAUGUUAGUUGGUAUGUAGAUUGUUACCUAGUAUGUAAAUAUUUAGCUGAUAAAUCUAGAGUUUUUUGUUUUCGAUAAAGCAUGAAGGUAUUUUCGUCCGCACAAUGUCAAAAAAUUACUCCAUUUUAGGUUAUCCAUAAUUAUAUGCAUUCAGCUAAUUUGGGCCUUAAUUGAGUAUAUUCCACGCAUUCUCCCCUUUAUUUUUUUACUUAGAACCAGACAAAUUUAAUUAGGAUAGUAGAAUGUAUGUUUAACUUCAAUUUAAAUAAUGUAUCAAACAAACGAUAACUUGUACAUAUAGAAUAUUAAAUUACCCUGUUAUAUAUGGGCCACAAUAAUAAAACAAUAUCAUUAUAUAUGGGCCGAAAAAUCAAAGUAGAAGAAAAUGAAUCUGCUAAAAGCCCACGUACUUCAAAUAUUAAAAUGUAUUUCCACGUGGGUUCCAAAAAUUGGUUGGUUCACCACUCCCAUUUGCUUUCACAUCAGACGAGAAGCUUCGUGUCUAACAAAACAAAACAACCCCAGCUCCGACUCCACUCUCUCUCCCCCUCUUCCUUUUUCGUUUGAGUUUCACUUUUUUCUCUCUCUCUCUCUCUCUCUCAAAAACGAGGAACAUGGCAGAUUGGGGACCAGUUCUGAUAGCCGUGAUCCUAUUCGUAGUGCUAACACCGGGGCUUCUUUUCCAGAUUCCGGCGGGAGGCCGAGUUGUCGAAUUCGGGAAUAUGCAGACGAGCGGCGCUUCUAUUCUCGUCCACGCUAUCAUCUUCUUUGGUCUCAUCACUAUCUUCACCAUCGCCAUCAACGUACACAUCUAUUCCGGUUAACUGUGUUAGCUGAGCUUAUUACUUGUUUACGGAAAGUCUUUUCUUCUCCGCUUCUGUUUGUGCUUUCUAGUUUUUCAAAAAUUGAUGUAAGAUCUGGCAUUUUCGGAUACAUGUGAAUAUAAUCAAAAUUUUCGUAUAUGAUAUAAAAUUCAUUUUGGUAUGGAUCUGGUAUCAGCUGUGGAAUUUGUUUGGGAUCUGGUUUAAUUGGUUCCUUUAUCGAAUGCCACUUGAUAGGUUACAACGUACAAUCAAACUGUUAGUUGAAAAGUCUUUUCACUUCUUAAUUCAAAGCACAAAGCAGAUUGAUCUGUGGACCUCUAAAACGACGCCGUAUCAUCUAUUAUUGGGCUUGUUGUAAUAAGCCCAUUAAAGCCUAAUCUGCAUCUCGUUCUGUUUCAUCCGAGUCUCCCGACGACCGCAUUUCUCCGCACUUUCGUCUUGGCAAAUCUAUCAGCAAUGGCGACUUCAAUAGCUCGAUUCUCUCGGAGAGGAGUAGCUUCUAACCUGAUCCGUCGCUACUUCGCUGCGGAAGCGGCGGUCGCGGUCAAGACAGAGGCGCCGAAGCCACAACUGACGGUGUCGCCGUCGCCGGAUCGUGUGAAGUGGGACUACAGGGGACAGAGACAGAUCAUUCCCUUGGGGCAGUGGCUUCCGAAGGUUGCCGUUGACGCCUACGUGGCACCAAACGUUGUGUUGGCCGGUCAGGUCACAGUCUGGGACGGCUCGUCCGUCUGGAACGGCGCCGUUUUGCGCGGGGAUCUCAACAAAAUCACCCUCGGGUUCUGCUCGAAUGUGCAGGAACGGUGCGUUGUCCAUGCCGCGUGGUCGUCCCCAACAGGUUACUGUUCACUCCAUUCUCAUAAAUUCUAAUUAUCCAAUUUCUGUUAUAGAAUCAAGAUAAUGUUAGACAGGAAUCAAGAAUCUCACUGCUAUGUUGUUGAGCUCAAUAGUAGAGUUUAGUAGAUUAGCACCACAGUCUCUAUGAUCUGAUUGGCUUUUUGAUAUUGAUGAUUCUAGGGUUACUGUCUAUUUUGGAAAUUUUCAGGAUUACCAGCAGAGACGUUGAUCGAUAGAUACGUGACAGUAGGUGCAUACAGUCUUCUGAGAUCAUGUACUAUCGAACCAGAGUGUAUUAUUGGGCAACACUCAAUACUAAUGGAAGGUUCACUGGUUGAGACCCGCUCAAUCCUCGAAGCUGGUUCGGUGGUGCCACCAGGAAGAAGGAUCCCAUCAGGUGAGCUAUGGGGAGGUAAUCCUGCAAGAUUCAUAAGAACUCUAACUAACGAAGAAACCUUAGAGAUUCCGAAACUCGCUGUAGCCAUCAACCACUUAAGCGGAGAUUACUUCUCUGAGUUCCUUCCUUACUCUACUGUCUACUUAGAGGUAGAGAAGUUCAAGAAGUCCCUUGGAAUCAGUGUUUAGAGAUUCAUAAAUCUCUCUUUUCCUCAAAGCUUCUCUUGUGUGCUUCGCGUGCUUACCUGAUAGUACGAGGUCUCUCGUGCAUAAUGCAAUAAGUAGCUGAACAUCAAAACAUUCGAACGCUUGUCUUCUCAUUUUUUUGGUUUCUUUUGUAAGACUCAAAUUUUAAACUGAUUUUGGCUGGAUAAAAGCAAACUAUAUAUAUAAAGUUCUACUUCAGCUAAAAUAGUUUUAGCUCAAGUAAAUUAUUCUUACACACCAUACAUAAGUUUAUAGCAUUCAUGAUGUCUUAAUAAGAUAAGACUAGUUAAGAUUCAUGCUGUCUUCUUAUAAGACAUGACCAGAUGGAUUGUAUUAAAGGCCUGCAUGUUGAACCGAUUCUCAUCACUCUGCCAUUCCUCUUCCUCUUCCAAAACGGGAGAACGUCCGAUAGGUUCAAAGCAAAAAGUUCCUGUGAAUGGUACCCCAGGAAAAUUCUCGUAAAACGGCAUGCAAUCCGUUACUGAAUUCCCAAAAUACUUGUCUCCACGGUUCGAGCUAGCAAACAUGAACCCUCCAAACACUUUCUCUCUGUUUGUUCGGCUACUCGAACCCAACUGGCCGUAAGCUUGAUGAUGACGAGGCGGGGGUUCGACGAGAUGAUGAAAACGGUUGUAAACAUCGUUGCUGGAACCCAUUGCAGAGUCCAUAUCUGAGUGAUAAAACAUACAAAUAUCGCCUGGAUUUAUACCCGUGCCCGCGACACUAAACAUUAUCUGUUGUGUCCUGUUAACAAUCAUUCAUAGUUGAGCAACAAAAUAAAAUUAUAUUUUCAUGAAAAAAUGCUAAAUUGUUGGUGGUUUAUGCAAAAUAAUGCAUAUAAUCUUACCCAAUGACCUCAUAGAACUCUCUAUAUUUUAUGGACGGACCUCCGUCUAGCGGUUCGGUUUCUUUUGAAACACCGAUAUAUAGAAAAUACGGCUUAUCUAUAAUCUGCAAUAUCAUAUGUAAAUCUCAUCGCAGAUUAUGUAUAUAUAUGCAUGAAUUGCAUUCGCAUAGAAGUAUGGAACAUAGAGAUGAUUACCAGUGUAUGAAGAGACAGAAUGAGAUUAUAAGCAUCAAGUGGCCAUACUUCGCCUUGUGUUCUAGCGAAUAACCAUGUUGUUUUUCCCUCGUGCACCAACACGUCGAGUAUCUCUAUUUUUGGACCAAUUGGGAUUAUCCCACUUGAAAUCCCCACGUGAAAUUUGAUUUCCACUGCAUGCAACUAGUAUUUUAGUAUGUGUGAUUUCUUUUUCUUUUUUUCAGUCAACAAAAUAUUAUAUUUGUAGUCUUUUUCUUAAGUGUAAUUUUCACCUAAGAACUUGUGUACCUUCAUUGUUGUUUAGGUUAUCUCUGGCGAAAACAAGUGCGACCGCGUCUACGGUGUAAAGAGUGGUAUCAAUAUUGUCAACUUCAGCGUUGGUACAAACGAAAUAGUUGUGCGCAUCACCGAUCAUAACGGUUUCUCUUG
rnacentral:lncRNA from 1 species